GCGGCGCGCCUAAUCCAUGCAAGUCGAGCGACGCAUUCCUUAGCCCGUAAGGGCGGGUUUGACGGAGCGGCGAACGGGUGCGUAACACGUGACCAAUCUGCCCCGAAGACCGGGAUAGCCCGGGGAAACCCGGAUUAAUACCGGAUGAUCUCAUCACCACGCAUGUGGAGAUGAGCAAAGGUUCAGGCGCUUCGGGAUGAGGUCGCGGCCCAUCAGCUUGUUGGUGAGGUAACGGCUCACCAAGGCGAUUACGGGUAGCUGGUCUGAGAGGACGAUCAGCCACACUGGAACUGAGAUACGGUCCAGACUCCUACGGGAGGCAGCAGGAGGGAAUCUUGCGCAAUGGGCGAAAGCCUGACGCAGCGACGCCGCGUGGGGGAUGAAUGCCUUAGGGUUGUAAACCCCUUUCACGAGGGAAGAAACUGACGGUACCUCGAGAAGAAGCCCCGGCCAACUACGUGCCAGCAGCCGCGGUAAUACGUAGGGGGCGAGCGUUGUCCGGAUUUAUUGGGCGUAAAGGGCUCGUAGGCGGCUUGGCAAGUCGGCCGUGAAAACCCAGGGCUCAACUCUGGGACGCCGGUCGAUACUGCCAUGGCUAGGGUCCGGUAGAGGGGAAUGGAAUUCCCGGUGUAGCGGUGAAAUGCGCA
rnacentral:rRNA from 1 species